UGUACCCACUACCUAUAAUAGAAAUUGUUGUUCUUAUCUAAGAUCUUGGAGUAGAUCUUGUGCCCUAGGAGUUCUGGAUUGAACUCUUGCUGCCCUAUCUUCCUACAUCCGCCUCUAGAGCGAUAUCUAGCACAGCACGUUGAAGUUGUUCCUUCAACACUUGUGCUGAACACAUUGUAGCGGCAAGGUGGAGUUGCUCCUCCACAACCUUUGUGCUGCUUCAUAGGGGGGAAGCUAGUGGCUGCGUUGGCCUCCUAGAUGCACCAGGAGCAAGUUUGGGUGCAUGGGCACGAGCGGUUCGAGCUCAGCCCUCGGCGGCGAAGAGGACGCCGACGGUGAGCUCACCACAUGGUGGGGAUCGGAGCUAGCGAGCAUAAACGAGAGAGGGAGGAGACGGGUUCGACGUGGAAGCUCAUAGAGAGGCUGACGGAGGGGUCGGCAGGUGCGGGGACGGCCGGUGGGCAGCGAAUCGACGCCGAGGAUCUCCGGGCACCGAGGUUGAAGAAGACGUCGGGGACGGCGUUGUGGUGCUUCCCCGGUUUCUUGGCUCGGCGUGGAUGAAGAAGACGACGAUGCGGAGCUCGAGGUCUCAUUGGCAGGGAGUGGGGUGGCCGGUGGCCAUGGCUACGGCGAGCGGCGGUCUCGGGUGUGCUUGGUGGCGCGAGGAAGAGAGCAGAGGAAAGGGGAGAGGCACGGGGAGAGUAGGAGAGGGUCGAGGGGGUUCCAGGGGUGUCGUGGCGCUCGGGGCCGUCUCCAGCAGCGAGCACACAGGCAGGAGGUGGCCUCACACGUGGAGGCGCGCGGCGAGCACGCGCCUUCGUCCUCCUGGCAGGGGAGGAAGACGAUAGGGAGGAGGCCAGUGGGCUGGCCGGCCACUUGAGCUCCAGGUGGGCUGCACAGGUAAGGUUUCCUCUCUCUCUCUCUCUCUUUUCCAUUUUUGUUUUCUAUUUCUAUCUUUGUUUUUUGAUUUAGCAAAAAUACUAAACCACUUUUGUUGCUCCUGAAAAUAUUCAUGUGGUAUGUAGAUAUAAUACCAGAGUCACUCAUAAAGUUUCAGGAUUAUUGGACAUGUAUUUCUUUUAUAACAGAAAUGAAUCCAAUUCAAAUAGUUUAUGAUUUAAAUCAAAGGCACAAAAUAAAUAUUUUAAAGCCUCCAAAAAUAUUGGUUUGAAUUUUAUUCUCGCCAAUAUUUUUCAAGGUUUAACAGGAACAUUUUCUUGAGCUUCUUUGAUGAGAUUUUAAUGUUGAUUAUUUCUGAACUUAUUUCUGAGGGUUUCAACUAACCUCAAUUCAACUUUCAGAAUAUAGACAUGAUGCAAGAUGCUCACUCAUGUAAUUAGCUACAAGCAAAUUCUAGGGCUGUGACAACUCACCCCCACUAAACAAGAAUCUCGUCCCGAGAUUCAAGAUGUGAGGUAAGAAGACAAAGGGGACACAAACUAACACAAUCUUCAUGAUCCAAUUGCUCUUCUCGAAGAUGUUGAUUCAUUGCAUCAUCUUGGUCUUGACAUCUUUGCUUUCGAGACAUUCAUGCUAACACUAUGACGACAAAAGGAAACUCUACAGGAAUCGAUCUUCUUGGAGAUCGAGCAACUCACGACCAACUCACGGAAUGAGACGUAAGAACACCUCUUGAGUUGAUACACAAAACACACACCAGGAGAAAUGGAAGAAGUAGAUCACGGAGGUUCAAUCUUAGGGAAGGCGAGUCGUAGAAUUAUUCUUUGAAGUGGAAAAAAGAAUUACUUUUGAUUCAAAGAUCAUUGAAAAUCUUCAUACCAAGCUAAGGCAGUUCACAAAUGAUCGUUUGAAGAAGUCCGAAAGGAUGGCAUACUCAGACUAGAAUGGAUGAUGUGUACUACCUUGUUGAAGACAAGGCAAUGGAUGAUUUUUGCUUAUCAUCAGAAAUGGAUGGGACCCAUGGUAAGCCCACUUUUCAAGGUAAUCUUGAGCAGUAAUUACCGAGAAGGCGGACCAUAGUAGAAUGGCACAAUGGCGGGUGCAAGCUGGGGACAAAAUGCAAAUGUUGGGAAUUUUUCAACCAUCAUAUCUACCUGAGAUUCAGAUCUGGUUAGUAACAGGAUACUUCAGACUCAACAUGUCUGCAAAGAAAGUUUGCAACACAAACCGACGAGAUAACGUUGCGAGAUUCUCGGGAAAUGAACUAUGAUAGCAAGCUCCAAAACAUGAGAUGGUUCUGCUACAUACCUAUGAACAUGCUGUCCAAGACAAGAAUGACCACAUAGUAGUCUUACAACAAAACGCUACCGAGUUCUGGUUGGGAACCAUCAUCGAGGAUAUCAAAGUCUUGUGCAGUUAAAUUAGACUUCUUUACCUUGAACAAAUCAAUCAGUGGCUUUGUGUGCUAGGGAAUACAUAUGGAAUGGAGAUGAUCAUUCUAUCAAACCAUAGAAUACUUCACACAUGCAUGAUUGACUUGGGAUGAUUCCAAAGGAAGCAAAAACAAGAUUUCUCGAAUCCACAGCGACAACUUGCAUC
rnacentral:lncRNA from 1 species